ensembl:lncRNA
GUAAGUAUCUACUGAUUUUUCACCCUUAUUGAUUACAGGCUUCCUGAGAGCAAGGACUGUGUCUUGGAUUCAUUACUCUGUCUCUCGCACCUUCAACUGUCCUUGGAAGCCACACUACCAGCCCAUACCCUGAAUCCACGUGAAUUAGAAAGAAAGGACACUCCUGCCUCAAAUUACUAGAACGUCACCACCUGUGACCAGAGUGUUCCUUGUAAAACUGCUUGGUAAUUGUGAAGUAAGUGACAUCCUCGGGUGGCAGGCAACCUGGGAGCAUGAUUUGCUCCAUUAUAUAAACAUCACCCCUGAGCUGACAAGGUUGUUACUAGUUUCCUUUGCUCUACACGCAACAAGCCAAAUGCUGAGAAACCAAGGUUUACAACCGAGAAAGAGUUUAUGCACAAGGCCGUUAAACAAGGAAACGGAAAACAAGACUUAGCUCUGCUUCCCUGAAGCCAAGAGGGUUGCAAUGUUUAUGGAAUGAGCAGGGAUGAGGAGGGUGGUCCUCAGUUCAGUUCAGUCGCUCAGUCGUGCCCGACUCUUCACGAACCCAUGAAUCGCAGCAUGCCAGGCCUCCCUGUCCAUCACCAACUCCCGGAGUCUACUCAAACUCACGUCAACUGAGUUCGUGAUGCCAUCCAGCCAUCUCAUCCUCUGAUGUCUCCUUCUCCUCCUGCCCCCAGUCCCUCCCAGCAUCAGGGUAUUUUCCAAUGAGUCAACUCUUCGCAUGAGGUGGCCAAAGUAUUGGGGAAAGGUGAUUCGUGCAGAAAGAGGUGAGGUCAUCUGCGCAGGCGCAUUGGGUUGCUCACCUCUGCAUAUUUUAAAUGGAGGUGCCCAGAAGGAUCUGAGGGUGGAGUUUUCUAGUCCUCUGCCUUCCAAAGGCCAUUCAUGAGACACCACUCAGGUCAGUUUUAGGAUCAGCGGUCCCAACUGGUCUUAUCCAGCUCGCAGUGGAGAAGAGCUGACUCCGAGUUCCUAUAGAACAGCUGGGCUAUGGGAAGCUGAGCAGACAUUUUGGCUGGUUUCCAAACAUACAUCAUUGCUUGUCUGGUAUGAGGAAUGCCAUCUGUGCUCUAUGGAAAUCCUUUUUUAAAAAUGGACUGCUAAUUAUACUCCAGGAGGUGGGUCCUAGAGGAUCUUGCUGUGAUUCAUUUCAAAGAAUGUUGUGCCAUGUUCAAACCAAGACUUAACUAUAAUUUUUGCUGUCCCAGAGAUGGAAUUGUCAGUCAAUCAGGAAGCACCUGAUCUGCAUUUCUUAGGUGCAGUGUGCUCAGUCACGUCUGACUCCACGACCCCAUGGACUGUAACCCGCCAGGCUCCUCUGUCCAUGGGAUUUCCCAAGCAAGAAUACUGGAGUGGAUUGUCAUUUCCUCCUCUAGGGGAUCUUCCUAACCCAGGGAUGGAAACUGCAUCUCCUGUCUCCUGCAUUGGCAGGCAAUUCUUUGUCCCUGAGCCACUUGGGGGCGCCUCCUUAUAGACUGCCAGGCAAGUAGAAGAGCCUCGGUGAAGAGUCACUGAAGAAAUAAAUACCAUUGAAAUAAAAUGAUUUUAGUUGAGAAAUAGAGGAAGCAAAGCAUCAGAAACUCUAAGCAGCUUUUUCAGAGUUGCAUUAGAAUCGCUAAAUGGUUUGAAAUGUACCAAAGGCUCCGGCCAAGCCCAGAGCCUGGGAAUUCAUGUCAUGCCCAGGUGUGGUACCUGUCAACUCUGUGUGACAGCUCAGCAUUAUGACUUUUGUUUUCUAAAUUAGUCUGCUCCUAUUUGCUUUCAAGGAAAGGUCUUUAUGUCUGAUCCUUGAACAGUCUUCCAGAAUAAUAAUGGCAAUGUCUGUUUCAUCUCUGAUUAACUACUGGCCGAUUCUCCACAGCUCUUUCCUGAAGGAUGCUACAGCUCUGCAAAAGGCAUUCUAUGGACUUCGAGGGCCCAAGUAAAAGUGAAAGUUGUUCAGUUGUGUCUGACUCUUUGUGACCCCAUGGACUAUACAGUUCAUGGAAUUCUCCAAGCCAGAAUACUGAAGUGGGUAGCCGUUCCCUUCUCCAGGGUAUCUUCCCAAUCCAGGGACUGAACCCAGGUCUCCCACAUUGUAUGCAGAUCCUUUACCAGCUGAGCUACCAGGGAGGCCCAAUACCGGAGUGGGUAGCCUAUCCCUUCUCCAGCAGAUCUUCCCCACCCAGGAGUGGAACCAGGGUCUCCUGCAUUGCAGGCAGAUGCUUUACCAGCUGAGCUACAUGGAAAGCCCAUCUCAGGGCCCAAAUUUCCCCUAAAAAAGCUUGCAGGAAAUUGAUACCAGGGAUAGUAGCUGUUAUAUUUCACAUUCUUACAACCUCCAGGAAUCUGGCUGCCUGAAUUUUAUCAUGUAGCCUGUUAGGGAGUACGAUUCAAACAGGCUUUGAUUUAGCAUCGCCUUUGAAGCUUCCCCAGGCAACCUGGCUUAGUCAUGAAGGUCUAAACCGCGCAUAUUCCAUUUUCUGGUAAAUAUGUCAGUGCCACAUACGUAAAAUUUUAAGUAUAAUGCACGUACCCCUAACCUAUAGAUGCUGGCUAAAAAUGAAGCUUUUGAUUUAGCGUUCUCUGUACUGAGUCCAUACUACCCUUAGUAGCCAGACUAAUAGUAAAUGUCCUAUAAAUCUCUAAAAAUAGACCACUGCCAAUUUUGAUAGUCUGCAAAUAGUUGGAAAAACAGUAUGAGUCACUUUUUCAAGGAUGUUCUCUUUUUUUGUUAGCUUAAUAUUCCAUGAUAAGGUUACAUGACAAAAGUAAAUUGCAUAGGCUCAGUUCUGAAUAGGAUUGCAAAUCUAAUAAGUGGCUGCUUAUUUCACGUUGUUCUGUCUGUAGCUUCUCUCCAACUUGCACUUCACGAGUUGUGUUUAGUUGAGGUCCAGGAUUCAGAAACUCAAGCAGGAAGCAUCUGGGAAUUCUCUGCUUUGAAGUGUGCAUGGGUUAGAAAUAACCUGGAGAAGUGAGAACACCACUUGCUUUCCAGGUGGGCUACAUUUCUGAUCCUACUCAAGUUUGAUGGAUUUCAUUACAUCUUCUAGAUAUUUCCAUAACUAAAUGGUUUUAAUGUGAGGCAUUCUGAAGUUAGUAGGUGGAGAAAUUCCAAGGUUUUUUUUUUUUUUAACUUUUUAAUUUAUACUGCUUUUUAAAUUAUGGUUGUUGUUGGAAUCAGGCAUCAAUAUUUCCGUUUUCACCACCCAGGAGGGUCAAUGUGACUAUUUUCUGCCUCCUUUUUGCUGCCCCCUUUCCAGUUCUUCCUGCUAAGGCACUGAGAACAUUGUAUCCUCAGGGUGGGCUCCAGUGGUUGUCAAUAACAAAACUGCAAGCUCUUCAAAGUUAGGCUCUUUAUCUUUGCACCUUUCAUUCCUGGAGGUUGUAGGAAUGUGAAACAUAAAAGCUAAGCAUAAAAUUAAUUUUUAAUUUUUAUUAAUAAACAAAAUUAAUAUCACUGGUGUUAAUUUUCUGAUGGUCAAAAAAGUGUUGUAUUUACCUUCAUCAUAGUUCUCUUCUACUUUGGUUGCUUUUGAAAUUAUAAAUAUGACCUUGAAUAAUUUAAGUACUCUUUUGGAACCCCAGUUUUCUCAUUUGUAAAAUGAAAUAAAAAUAUGGACAUCAGAAGUUAAGGAUUAAACAGUGU